AUCUCCUGCCUCGGGGACUGCAGGGCCUGUGUUUAGGUAACCUUUAUUUUACUUAAUAAUGGUCCCAAAGCACAAGUCAGUGAUGGUGGCAAUUAGCAUAUGGCAGAGAGAAGCCUCAAAGUGCUUCCUUUAAGUGAAAAGGUGAAAGUUUUCAACUUGAUAAGGAAAGAAAAAGAACCCUAUGCCGCGGCUGCCAAGAUUUACGGAGUAAAGAAAGAAAAGUAUCUAUUAUUGCCAGGCAUACACUGAAUGGUGGCUUUAUUUGAACAACUCCCAUCUUCCUUUCUGAGGAGCAGCAUUCAAGUAGCCAAGUGUCCUAAAGGAUCUGAUACAACAGCAGGAGUUUCCAGGGUGAGCCAGUGAUUGAGUCAGGUGUUUCAUGGUUUCAGGUCUUACAGGUUCUGGGAAAUGAAAAUAAGUGAUCUGGAAGCCCCCAGCUUCUGGACAACCUUCUCUGGAAGUUGGAUAUCGUAAAGGUCCUGCACCCGAAGAGAGCUGUACUUAGAAAGAAGGUGCCUUGAGUUUUGAUGAGCGACAGGUUCUGUAAUCACCUCAGAGUAAAGAUGACAGCGUGUUUCUAGAGGCUGUUCCGUGCGGAUGAUGGCACAGUGCCAAAGCACAGGUCGGUGAUGCAGACCAUGCGGACCAGGCUUUGAGUGGGGGCUGGAUCCUCUUAGGAUGGAAAUUCAAAAGGAGAAAAUGGUCCACAGGGGAGAGAGAAAUUAAGAAACACAUCUAAGGGAAAAGGGAGUUUUCUUUAAGAAAGCGUUCUGAGCACUUUGCAAUUUAGAAAGGAGCGUUGCCCCUCCACCCUGCCCCGAUAAACUGUUCUUUAUUUCUCUCUGUAGCAAACCAUAUUGCUGAUUAACCACUGCUUUCAUAAACUUCAAGUGGGCCAUUCACACUGCCUCACUGCUGCUUAAUGUCCUGUACUGAGCUUGCUCUUCCUGCAGUGCCGGCCUCGUGUUUUGUUUUUAUUAGAAAUUCACCUCGCCUUGUCUACUGAGGGGAAGGAGAGGGGAAAUCACACCCCAGAGCUCCGCAAGCCCAUAAAAUGGCAGAGCUUCCUGGAGAAGGCUGUCCUGAACCCCAAGGCCCUGGCUGCCUGCGCCGUAAUGAAAUGCAUGACUACGGAAGACAAUAAUAAUUGCAGCGAAGGCUCGUUCCAGCUCCCGGAUGAUUUGGUGCUGUCAGGAGUGCGCUGUCCUCUGACAUCCCAGGAGGCGAACAGCACCAGUGACUGCAGGCCCUGAUUGGGGCAGUGAAAUAUUGCUGGCAAAAAUUAAAAGGUCCCCGUGUCAAAAUAAUUCAUGAUAUGCAUAUCUUCCAUUCUGAUGAAACGGCUGAUAUCCGGAUUAGCAAGAUAAUAAAACUGAUCAGGCUACAGUUAAACAAUUUAAGUUGGAGAGCUGUUCAUUUUGUAGGUGUCACUUGUCAGAUCAAGGGGUCAAAGCAGAAUGAAAGGCUCUCCCCGGUAACCUUCCGACGAUGUGGAUCUGGAAUGUUCUUCAUGAUUUGUCCAAAGUUUUCAUCAUCGGGCUGCCGACUAGCAUUACCGCGGCAGGCUGUGUUCUGACAUUCAAAUCCCCGGAAUGACAGGUUAUUAGGAGAGGAGGACUGGCUCUACAUACAUUAAGCGCCGUAUCUCUGACCUGUAAUGUGAACUGAUAGUGAUAUUGUAAUUGAGUGAGUCUGAAAAAAAAAAGAGGGGGGAGUCUUUAUUAAAACAUGGGAAUAGAAAGGAAAGCAUUUAUAUUUCUGAUGAUUUGUGGGUUUGUAAAAUAAGCUUUUUGGUGAUGAUUUAUUUUCCGAUUCUACAAGGCUGAGUGCUGUGCAUAGUGUUUAUUUGGUGUAACAGUUAUUAAACUAAGAUAACACAAACUCUCUCAUCUUCUUUCCACAUGCUGAGCAGGCACAGAUCAAAAGAGAUUUGUUCUAUUAAAGGCAGUAGCUUUAAAAGGAACAAAAUGGACCCAAGUACAACCCGGGGCCAGGACUGCUCUUUAGGAUGUUUGCCUUACAGCUCUGGCGUCACGAGCUGCUCCGCCUGAGGCUGAGAUCUCUCUCCUCCAGGAGCCCGGCUGAGGACGCUGGGCAGCCUCCUUUAUUGGUGUCAAUGACUCCACUGUGGGGUGGCGUCGUGCACUGGGAAACUAAUUUAAUGUGUGUUAACGGGGUCUUAGGUGAUACCUUUUAGCUUUCUCAUGAAAUACCCUUGUUAUUAGGGAGCGAGGCAGGCAAAUCACUGAAUUCAUCGGUGGUUGUGGGCCUCCUGAAAGAGCCUGACUCUUUGGUGACCAUAAAGAAGCUCAGUGGGGGCACUUGGGUGGGCUUGGUCGUUGAGCGUCUGACUCUUGCUUUCAGCUUAGGUCAUGAUCUCAGGGUCAUGGGAUCAAGUUCCACACUGGGCUCUGUGUUCGGUGGGGAGUCUUCUUGGGAUCCCCUCUCUCUCUCUUCCUUCGCUCCUCCCUUCUCCUCUCUAAAAUGAAUAAAUAAAUCUUUAAAAGUAAAAAGAAACUCAGUAUGGGAGUAUAUGUGUGUGUGUAUGUGUGUGCACAUGUAUGUGUGUAGGUGCACACAU